UACGAGAGGCGCAAACGUUAUUCGGAAUUACUGGGCUUAAAGAGUUCGUAGGCGGCGCAGAAAGUAGGGUGUGAAAGCCCUCGGCUUAACCGAGGAAUUGCGCUCUAAACUACUGUGCUUGAGGGACCUAGAGGUGAGCGGAACUGAUGGUGGAGCGGUGAAAUGCGUUGAUAUCAUCAGGAACACCGGAGGCGAAGGCGGCUCACUGGGGGUCUUCUGACACUGAGGAACGAAAGCCAGGGGAGCGAACGGG
rnacentral:rRNA from 1 species